UUUUUGCGUUAGGGAUAGGAACGGCAUCCUUUUGUGGAGCGUAGCAGAACAAAAGAUAAAGUGGAUAGCCCGACCCGCC
rnacentral:sRNA from 1 species